UACAGAGGGGGCAAGCGUUAUUCGGAAUUAUUGGGCGUAAAGGGCGCGUAGGCGGCUGCGCAAGUUCAAGGUGAAAUCCCUCGGCCCAACCGAGGAACUGCCUUGAAUACUGCGCGGCUUGAGGCCGGGAGAGGGUGGUGGAAUUCCCAGUGUAGCGGUGAAAUGCGUAGAUAUUGGGAGGAACACCAGUGGCGAAGGCGACCACCUGGACCGGUUCUGACGCUGAGGCGCGAAAGCGUGGGGAGCAAAC
rnacentral:rRNA from 1 species